rnacentral:ncRNA from 1 species
UCUUAUCCAGAGAGGCGGAGGGACUGACCCGGUGAAGCCUCGGCAACCAACAAUCUUUUGUAUGGUGCCAAUUUCAGAGGAUACUAUCCAAAGAUAAG